rnacentral:lncRNA from 1 species
AGGGUUAAAUACCUAAAACUCCCCUGUGGUUUGCCUAAUGUUCACUUUACCUCCCUAUGGUUUGGAAACCUACAAUUUGACUCCUAGUCGUUUCAACUAAAGUAAAAGUCUAACGGAAAACAUCUAAACUAACGUCUGAAAGGAAAAUGCCAAAAUUGUCCCUCUAUAAGGGUUUUGCGUUAAGUACCAAAAACCCCCCUGUGGUUUGUCAAAUGUACACUUUACCUCCCUAUGGUUUGAAAAUAUACAAUUUAACUCCCUAUCGUUUCACCUAAAGUGAAAAUCUAACAGAAAUUCCGUUAAAUACACUUUAGUUGAAACGACAGGGAGUCAAAUUGUAGGUUUCCAAACCAUAGGGAGGUAAAGUGAACAUUAGGCAAACCACAGGGGGAUUUUUGGUAUUUAACCCUU